rnacentral:rRNA from 1 species
UACGUAGGGACCAAGCGUUGUUCGGAUUUACUGGGCGUAAAGGGCGCGUAGGCGGCGCGGUAAGUCACUUGUGAAAUCUCUGAGCUUAACUCAGAACGGCCAAGUGAUACUGCAGUGCUAGAGUGUGGAAGGGGCAAUCGGAAUUCUUGGUGUAGCGGUGAAAUGCGUAGAUAUCAGGAGGAACACCGAUGGCGAAGGCAGAUCUCUGGGCCGUAACUGACGCUGAGGAGCGAAAGCAUGGGGAGCGAACAGG